GGAGGGGUGCAGGAGCGGUCAAACUGGCUGGUCUUGAAAACCAUGCGUCUUAACGGACACGUGGGUUCGAAUCCCACCCCCUCCGCCA
rnacentral:tRNA from 1 species